AAAACACAAAAAGCGCCAGGACUUGAAUCGGAUCGGAAAAUUCAGGAUUCAAGUUGACGAGGAACAGGGUUUAUCGAAAAUUCGGCGGAUGCCCUGCGGACUUCACCAACGUUAAACGUCCUACAAAGACUCCGAGUGAUUGGAGGGACAAAUGGGACUGGGUGAAAAAA
rfam:Geosporobacter ferrireducens strain IRF9, complete genome.